rnacentral:tRNA from 1 species
GGGGGAGUAGCUCAGUUGGUUAGAGCGCAUGCUUCACACGCAUGAGGCCCCGGGUUCGAGUCCCGGCUUUCCCACCA